rnacentral:rRNA from 1 species
UAGGGAAUCUUCCGCAAUGGGCGAAAGCCUGACGGAGCAACGCCGCGUGAGUGAUGAAGGUCUUCGGAUCGUAAAACUCUGUUAUUAGGGAAGAACAAAUGUGUAAGUAACUAUGCACGUCUUGACGGUACCUAAUCAGAAAGCCACGGCUAACUACGUGCCAGCAGCCGCGGUAAUACGUAGGUGGCAAGCGUUAUCCGGAAUUAUUGGGCGUAAAGCGCGCGUAGGCGGUUUUUUAAGUCUGAUGUGAAAGCCCACGGCUCAACCGUGGAGGGGCAUUGGAAACUGGAAAACUUGAGGGCAGAAGAGGAAAGUGGAAUUCCAUGUGUAGCGGUGAAAUGCGCAGAGAUAUGGAGGAACACCAGUGGCGAAGGCGACUUUCUGGUCUGUAACUGACGCUGAUGUGCGAAAGCGUGGGGAUCAAACAGG